GACGAACGCUGGCCGCGUGCCUAAUACAUGCAAGUCGAGCGGACUUGAAGGAGUGCUUGCACUCCUGAGAGUUAGCGGCGGACGGGUGAGUAACACGUAGGCAACCUGCCCUCAAGACUGGGAUAACUACCGGAAACGGUAGCUAAUACCGGAUAAUUUAUUACAUAGCAUUAUGUGAUAAUGAAAGACGGAGCAAUCUGUCACUUGGGGAUGGGCCUGCGGCGCAUUAGCUAGUUGGUGGGGUAACGGCCCACCAAGGCGACGAUGCGUAGCCGACCUGAGAGGGUGAACGGCCACACUGGGACUGAGACACGGCCCAGACUCCUACGGGAGGCAGCAGUAGGGAAUCUUCCGCAAUGGGCGAAAGCCUGACGGAGCAACGCCGCGUGAGUGAUGAAGGUUUUCGGAUCGUAAAGCUCUGUUGCCAAGGAAGAACGUCUCAUAGAGUAACUGCUAUGAGAGUGACGGUACUUGAGAAGAAAGCCCCGGCUAACUACGUG
rnacentral:rRNA from 1 species